rnacentral:tRNA from 1 species
AUAUAAAAAGCGAGAAAUUUGCGUUCGGUUUCGGCCCGUUGUUUGGGGGUGUAAGUCCCUCUUUAUAUU